GCCGCAGUGGCGCAACGGAUAGCGCGUCUGGNUUUCUACCCAGAAGGUUGUGGGUUCGAAUCCCACUUGCGGUA
rnacentral:tRNA from 1 species